rnacentral:tRNA from 1 species
GCGCCUGUAGCUCAGUGGAUAGAGCGCAUCGUUGCGGACGAUGAGGUCGGGUGUUCGAAUCAUCCCAGGCGCA